GCUGGGUGUGGUGGUGCGCACCUGUAAUCCCAGCUACUCAGGAGGCUGAGGCAGGAGAAUCGCUUGAACCUGGGAGGCAGAGGUUGCAGUGAGCCGAGAUCGUGCCAUUGCACUCUAGCCUGGGCAACAGAGUGAGACUCUGUCUCAA
ensembl:misc_RNA Metazoa_SRP Metazoan signal recognition particle RNA